UCCUACGGGAGGCAGCAGUGGGGAAUCUUGCACAAUGGAGGAAACUCUGAUGCAGCGAUGCCGCGUGAGUGAAGAAGGCCCUUGGGUUGUAAAGCUCUUUCGUCGGGGAAGAAAAUGACUGUACCCGAAUAAGAAGGUCCGGCUAACUUCGUGCCAGCAGCCGCGGUAAUACGAAGGGACCUAGCGUAGUUCGGAAUUACUGGGCUUAAAGAGUUCGUAGGUGGUUGAAAAAGUUGGUGGUGAAAUCCCAGAGCUUAACUCUGGAACUGCCAUCAAAACUUUUCAGCUAGAGUAUGAUAGAGGAAAGCAGAAUUUCUAGUGUAGAGGUGAAAUUCGUAGAUAUUAGAAAGAAUACCAAUUGCGAAGGCAGCUUUCUGGAUCAUUACUGACACUGAGGAACGAAAGCAUGGGUAGCGAAGAGGAUUAGAUACCCUCGUAGUCCAUGCCGUAAACGAUGUGUGUUAGACGUUGGAAAUUUAUUUUCAGUGUCGCAGCGAAAGCGAUAAACACACCGCCUGGGGAGUACGACCGCAAGGUUAAAACUCAAAUGAAUUGACGG
rnacentral:rRNA from 1 species